rnacentral:rRNA from 2 species
UGGGGAAUAUUGCGCAAUGGGGGCAACCCUGACGCAGCAAUACCGCGUGAGUGAAGAAGGUUUUCGGAUCGUAAAGCUCUGUUAUUGGGGAAGAAAAAAAGACGGUACCCAAGAAGAAAGUUCCGGCUAACUACGUGCCAGCAGCCGCGGUAAUACGUAGGGAACAAGCGUUGUCCGGAUUUACUGGGCGUAAAGGGCACGCAGGCGGUUUCUUAAGUCAGAUGUGAAAGGCCACAGCUCAACUGUGGACAUGCAUUUGAAACUGAGAGACUUGAGUAUUGGAGAGGCAAGUGGAAUUCCUAGUGUAGCGGUGAAAUGCGUAGAUAUUAGGAGGAACACCGGUGGCGAAGGCGGCUUGCUGGACAAAUACUGACGCUGAGGUGCGAAAGCGUGGGGAGCAAACAGG